UACGGAGGGUGCGAGCGUUAAUCGGAAUUACUGGGCGUAAAGCGCGCGUAGGCGGUUGGCUAAGUCUGCUGUGAAAGCCCUGGGCUUAACCUGGGAACGGCAGUGGAUACUGGUCGGCUAGAGUGUGGUAGAGGGGAGUGGAAUUUCCGGUGUAGCAGUGAAAUGCGUAGAGAUCGGAAGGAACACCAGUGGCGAAGGCGGCUCUCUGGACCAACACUGACGCUGAGGGGCGAAAGCGUGGGGAGCAAACAGG
rnacentral:rRNA from 1 species